GUCGUACGCUUCUUUUUCCCCGGAGCUUGCUCCACCGGAAAAAGAAGAGUGGCGAACGGGUGAGUAACACGUGGGUAACCUGCCCAUCAGAAGGGGAUAACACUUGGAAACAGGUGCUAAUACCGUAUAACAAUCGAAACCGCAUGGUUUUGAUUUGAAAGGCGCUUUCGGGUGUCGCUGAUGGAUGGACCCGCGGUGCAUUAGCUAGUUGGUGAGGUAACGGCUCACCAAGGCUACGAUGCAUAGCCGACCUGAGAGGGUGAUCGGCCACAUUGGGACUGAGACACGGCCCAAACUCCUACGGGAGGCAGCAGUAGGGAAUCUUCGGCAAUGGACGAAAGUCUGACCGAGCAACGCCGCGUGAGUGAAGAAGGUUUUCGGAUCGUAAAACUCUGUUGUUAGAGAAGAACAAGGAUGAGAGUAACUGUUCAUCCCUUGACGGUAUCUAACCAGAAAGCCACGGCUAACUACGUGCCAGCAGCCGCGGUAAUACGUAGGUGGCAAGCGUUGUCCGGAUUUAUUGGGCGUAAAGCGAGCGCAGGCGGUUUCUUAAGUCUGAUGUGAAAGCCCCCGGCUCAACCGGGGAGGGUCAUUGGAAACUGGGAGACUUGAGUGCAGAAGAGGAGAGUGGAAUUCCAUGUGUAGCGGUGAAAUGCGUAGAUAUAUGGAGGAACACCAGUGGCGAAGGCGGCUCUCUGGUCUGUAACUGACGCUGAGGCUCGAAAGCGUGGGGAGCAAACAGGAUUAGAUACCCUGGUAGUCCACGCCGUAAACGAUGAGUGCUAAGUGUUGGAGGGUUUCCGCCCUUCAGUGCUGCAGCUAACGCAUUAAGCACUCCGCCUGGGGAGUACGACCGCAAGGUUGAAACUCAAAGGAAUUGACGGGGGCCCGCACAAGCGGUGGAGCAUGUGGUUUAAUUCGAAGCAACGCGAAGAACCUUACCAGGUCUUGACAUCCUUUGACCACUCUAGAGAUAGAGCUUCCCCUUCGGGGGCAAAGUGACAGGUGGUGCAUGGUUGUCGUCAGCUCGUGUCGUGAGAUGUUGGGUUAAGUCCCGCAACGAGCGCAACCCUUAUUGUUAGUUGCCAUCAUUCAGUUGGGCACUCUAGCAAGACUGCCGGUGACAAACCGGAGGAAGGUGGGGAUGACGUCAAAUCAUCAUGCCCCUUAUGACCUGGGCUACACACGUGCUACAAUGGGAAGUACAACGAGUCGCGAAGUCGCGAGGCUAAGCUAAUCUCUUAAAGCUUCUCUCAGUUCGGAUUGUAGGCUGCAACUCGCCUACAUGAAGCCGGAAUCGCUAGUAAUCGCGGAUCAGCACGCCGCGGUGAAUACGUUCCCGGGCCUUGUACACACCGCCCGUCACACCACGAGAGUUUGUAACACCCGAAGUCGGUGAGGUAACCUUUGGAGCCAGC
rnacentral:rRNA from 1 species